rnacentral:rRNA from 1 species
GAUCAUGGCUCAGGACGAACGCUGGCGGCACGCUUAACACAUGCAAGUCGAACGAGAGAAGAGAAGCUUGCUUUUCUGAUCUAGUGGAGGACGGGUGAGUAACACGUGAGCAAUCUGCCUUUCAGAGGGGGGAUACCGAUUGGAAACGAUCGUUAAUACCGCAUAAUAUAAUUGAACCGCAUGAUUUGAUUAUCAAAAGAUUUAUCGCUGAAAGAUGAGCUCGCGU